rnacentral:rRNA from 1 species
UACGUAGGGGGGCAAGCGUUGUCCGGAUUUAUUGGGCGUAAAGAGCGUGUAGGCGGUUUGGUAGGUCCGCUGUGAAAACUCGAGGCUCAACCUCGAGACGCCGGUGGAAACCAUCAGACUAGAGUCCGGAAGAGGAGAGUGGAAUUCCUGGUGUAGCGGUGAAGUGCGCAGAUAUCAGGAAGAACACCCGUGGCUAAGGCGGCUCGCUGGGACGUUACUGGACGCUGGAGACGCGAAAGCGUGGGGAGCAAACAGG